rnacentral:rRNA from 1 species
CAGCAGUCGCCGCGGUAAUACGAAGGGGGCUAGCGUUGCUCGGAAUUACUGGGCGUAAAGGGAGCGUAGGCGGAUCGUUAAGUUGGGGGUGAAAGCCCGGGGCUCAACCCCGGAACUGCCUUUGAUACUGGAAGUCUUGAGUAUGGUAGAGGUGAGUGGAAUUCCGAGUGUAGAGGUGAAAUUCGUAGAUAUUCGGAGGAACACCAGUGGCGAAGGCGGCUCACUGGACCAUUACUGACGCUGAGGUGCGAAAGCGUGGGGAGCAAACAGGAUUAGAUACCCCAGUAGUCCCUGUCUCUUAUAC